rnacentral:rRNA from 1 species
UACAGAGGGUGCGAGCGUUAAUCGGAAUUACUGGGCGUAAAGGGCGCGUAGGUGGUUAAUUAAGUCAGAUGUGAAAUCCCUGGGCUCAACCUAGGAAUUGCAUAUGAAACUGAUUAUCUCGAGUUCGAGAGAGGGAAGUGGAAUUUCCGGUGUAGCGGUGAAAUGCGUAGAUAUCGGAAGGAACACCAGUGGCGAAGGCGACUUCCUGGCUCGAUACUGACACUGAGGCGCGAAAGCGUGGGGAGCGAACAGG